rnacentral:rRNA from 1 species
GUGUCAGCCGCCGCGGUAAAACCAGCACCUCAAGUGGUCAGGAGGAUUAUUGGGCCUAAAGCAUCCGUAGCCUGCUAUGUUAGUUUUCGGUUAAAUCCAUGUGCUCAACACAUGGGCUGCCGAGAAUACUGCUUAGCUAGGGAGUGGGAGAGGUAGACGGUACUCAGUAGGAAGGGGUAAAAUCCUUUGAUCUAUUGAUGACCACCAGUGGCGAAGGCGGUCUACCAGAACACGUCCGACGGUGAGGGAUGAAAGCUGGGGGAGCAAACCGGAUUAGAUACCCGGGUAGUCCCAGCUGUAAACUAUGCAAACUCAGUGAUGCAUUGGCUUGUGGCCAGUGCAGUGCCGCAGAGAAGUCGUUAAGUUUGCCGCCUGGGAAGUACGUACGCAAGUAUGAAACUUAAAGGAAUUGGCGGGGGAGCACCACAAGGGGUGAAGCCUGCGGUUCAAUUGGAGUCAACGCCAGAAAUCUUACCCGGAGAGACAGCAGAAUGAAGGUCAAGCUGAAGACUUUACCAGACAAGCUGAGAAGUGGUGCAUGGCCGUCGCCAGCUCGUGCCGUGAGGUGUCCUGUUAAGUCAGGUAACGAGCGAGAUCCCUGCCUCUAGUUGCCACCAUUGCUCUCAGGAGUAGUGGGGCGAAUUAGCGGGACUGCCGCAGUUAAUGCGGAGGAAGGAGGGGGCCACGGCAGGUCAGUAUGCCCUGAAACUCUGGGGCCACACGCGGGCUGCAAUGGUAGUUACAGUGAGUUCCGAAUCCGAAAGGAGGAGGUAAUCUUCAAACGCUACCACAGUUAUGAUUGAGGGCUGCAACUCGCCCUCAUGAAUAUGGAAUCCCUAGUAACUGCGUGUCAUUACCGCGCGGUGAAUACGUCCCUGCUCCUUGCACACACCGGCCGUC